AGAGUUCGAUCCUGGCUCAGGAUGAACGCUGGCGGCGCGCCUAACACAUGCAAGUCGAACGGUUAAAGCCCCUUCGGGGGUGCAUAGAGUGGCGAACGGCUGAGUAACACGUGGGCAACCUGCCCCCCGCACCGGGACAGCCUCGGGAAACCGUGGUUAAUACCGGAUACUCCGCCACCCCCGCAUGGGGGCGGCGGGAAAGCCCAGGCGGAGGGGGAUGGGCCCGCGGCCUGUUAGCUCGUUGGCGGGGUAACGGCCCACCAAGGCGAUGUUGGGUAGCCGGGUUGAGAGACCGACCGGCCAGAUUGGGACUGAGACACGGCCCAGACUCCUACGGGAGGCAGCAGUGGGGAAUCUUGCACAAUGGGCGAAAGCCUGAUGCAGCGACGCCGCGUGCGGGACGAAGGCCUUCGGGUCGUAAACCGCUUUCAGCAGGGACGAGGCCGAAAGGUGACGGUACCUGCAGAAGAAGCCCCGGCUAACUACGUGCCAGCAGCCGCGGUAAUACGUAGGGGGCGAGCGUUAUCCGGAUUCAUUGGGCGUAAAGCGCGCGCAGGCGGCCUGCUCGGUCGGGAGUCAAAUCCGGGGGCUCAACCCCCGCCCGCUCCCGAUACCGGCGGGCUUGAGUCUGGUAGGGGAAGGCGGAAUUCCCAGUGUAGCGGUGGAAUGCGCAGAUAUUGGGAAGAACACCGGUGGCGAAGGCGGCCUUCUGGGCCACGACUGACGCUGAGGCGCGAAAGCUAGGGGAGCGAACAGGAUUAGAUACCCUGGUAGUCCUAGCCGUAAACGAUGGACACUAGGUGUGGGGGGGAGGAUCCCUCCGUGCCGCAGCCAACGCAUUAAGUGUCCCGCCUGGGGAGUACGGCCGCAAGGCUAAAACUCAAAGGAAUUGACGGGGGCCC
rnacentral:rRNA from 1 species